UGGGCGGUCGUCUAACGGCAAGACAUCGGUCUUUGGAUCCGAGAAUGGAGGUUCGAUUCCUCCCCGCCCAG
rnacentral:tRNA from 1 species